rnacentral:rRNA from 1 species
CCUACGGGAGGCAGCAGUAGGGAAUCUUUCACAAUGGGCGAAAGCCUGAUGGAGCAACGCCGCGUGCAGGAAGAAGGCCCUCGGGUUGUAAACUUCUUUUAACAGGGACGAAGAAAGUGACGGUACCUGUUGAAUAAGCCACGGCUAACUACGUGCCAGCAGCCGCGGUAAUACGUAGGUGGCAAGCGUUAUCCGGAUUUACUGGGUGUAAAGGGCGUGUAGGCGGGAGAGCAAGUCAGACGUGAAAUUCCAGGGCUCAACCCUGGAACUGCGUUUGAAACUGUUCUUCUUGAGUGAUGGAGAGGCAGGCGGAAUUCCGUGUGUAGCGGUGAAAUGCGUAGAUAUACGGAGGAACACCAGUGGCGAAGGCGGCCUGCUGGACAUUAACUGACGCUGAGGCGCGAAAGCGUGGGGAGCAAACAGGAUUAGAUACCCGGGUAGUC